AGAAAACACUGCCUUGCUCUGGGAACUGUUCCUGGAUGUUUCCUGCAAUAUGUGAGGAAUCAAAAGAAAACACCGAGAGCAGCAGAAUCGUCUUUGUGCAGGAAUCAUUGAGGAUUUUCCAUCAUAUAUGUGCUUGGUGCAAUGAUGUCUCUGUGUUAUGCUGUGUUCUGCAUCCUGAAGGAUUGCUCAGCAAGUCUUGGAGUACAUGGCAGAGGCAACUUCACAUGAUUUUAUGGGACAAAUUGAAGGAUUAUCCUCUCUCCACCCCACCUGACUGCUCAGGAGAAUGCAGAGACUGACUCUCUAGCCUUCCCUGCAGUGUGAAGUUCCCAUGCUCAUGUGCCCUAAAAGCAAACCUCUGCAAUAUUUAAAGUGAAGGUCUCAGGGAGCAGACCUCAGCCUCCUCACCAGCUGUGAUUACUCCCUGAAGCAGAUCACAUCCUGCACAAUUACAAAGAUGAUACCACUGAAGACCACACCUGGUGAGCACAAAGGAGCCUCAGUUAAGAAUGAACAAGCAAUGGAAAGGUGGGGGGUGUCUUUUAUGACAUUCAGAGCUGGAGGGGAUGUGCACAAUUCUGCCAGAGGGCUUCCAGCUGUACCUUUAGGACCGACUUAAAUGCUUUCUCUUUGUGGAUCUAUAGGCAUUAUACCAUUUCCCUUUGGUACCCAAGCUCUAAAAAGCCCCAGUAACUCCACAGCAAACUGCAGGGUGUAGUGGAGACAUGGCCUUCAUCAGUGCCUGCUGCCCAGCUCCCUCAGCAGCUUGGCAGCAUGUGGUUUCCCACUGUAGCUGAUGUCUCAACACAGCUAAAGCUCCACCAUGCUCUGUCUUAGGCAGCUUUGUCAGUUUCAUGCUCUCAAGCACGUUUCAAUCUGCUUUUCCUUUCCUGUUUCACUGUGCUCCUUUUCAAAGUGGUGCAUGUGGACAGAGAAGCCUUGAAAAGGAUGAUCCCAGAGCAGCAGGUUCCCUGCAGAAAUCAGAGGCAAAGGCUAAAGAAAAGGUAAUCUAUACCCUGUAUCUUGUUAAGCCACAGUGUAUUCAUAUUUCAGAAAGGCUGGUUUUGAAGUGGCAGGUAGUUUAAAAGUUGACCUGCUCAGCCACAGGACUUCCAAGCAACAAGAGGUGUGGUUGAAUUUGAGCUGUACAUGCUGUGAGAACUUCCCCACCACUUCUAAUUUUCUGAAGCUGGAUAAGUCCUCUCAGAACUCUGUGCUUGCAGAGGCUUUUGGCUUUGCACAAUGAUUUAACUGUAUUUGCCCCUGUAAGUUUUAUCUUCUGUUUGUUUGUGCAAUACUUUAAUGGCUUUGACUUUGUGACUUUCAGGCAUCUAAAGUGCUACAGCAGAUGGGAACGAUAACAUUUUCAUUAGAAAGCAUUGCCAAUCUGGGUUUUAAUUCACACUUUUCCAGGUGCUGAUCUGUGGUCCAGUGACUGAAAUGUAUGUCUAAAGCAUUUUCUUUUAUAUUUUUUUUCUUGGGCAAAACCAAGAAGACAAAUCCUACACUUUCAUGUUGUGUCCAUCCAUGGCCUGUGAGAGCCAACAUACAACCACAAUAAUGUCCCUUUAGAAACAUAGCUCCUGUGUAAGGGCACACUAAGGGCCCACCAGUGUGCCUGCUUCCUAAAGGAUGUGAGCACUCAAGCUUUGAAAUCUGCCUCUUUUCUUGCAGAGCAACAAGCCAUGCAGUUGCUCUAUAUCACUGAUAUAAAGCUCCCCAGCCUAAGUCCUGAAGCCUGCAAAGACAUUGUACUGAAGGGAAAAGCUGGAAAAAUUGGAUGAGCAAGUUGUGCUUCAUCUCUUUGGGCUUAACCUGGGUACCAGUAAACUCUUUUUUUUUUUUUAAGCUGCUAGUUAAUACUCUCACACAAGCAGAUAACUUGGUAAAUUUUUCUCAGGUGAUAAUAAAUAAUGUUUUGCAUUUAUUGAUUAUUUAUUUAGCAUUUUUUUGGCAAACACUUGUUUUAUAGUGACUCAUCUAUUUAGCAUAGGUUAACAUUUCAGAAGUAUAGAAGUGCAGAGAUUCCCCUGUAAAAUUCUACCUGAAAGAAAACAGUUCAAAAUUAUUCAACUGAAGGCAAUAGCAAGUCUGAGACUAAAACUAAAGUAACAACUAGAAAUAAAUUAAUCAGCAUGAACAGCAUAUUCUUCAGCAUUUUUGUACCAGUAACAUAGCUGUAGUAAACCUGGCCCUGGCAUCCAUCAGUGCUCUUGUUGCUUUGUCCCAUAUUCUGUGGCAGUAUCUGCUAGUAAUGCAUUAACAAAAAUCACCUUCCCAAGGCAUGGAAACACUUUUUUUAGCUCCUGACGUUAUAAAGGUAACUUGAAUCAAUAGAGCUGGCCACUCACUGUGAGAUCGGAAAUGCUGUGGGAGGUAAUUGCUCCACUGCAAAUGACUUCACAUAAUUUGAUAGUUGCUAGGUCUCAUGCAUUAUUCUUGCUGUUAAUCAAUUGUGAUUUAUUAUCCAUUUCUACUCCAUUUAUCAUCACUUUACUGUUCAAGGUUUUUCCUGAUCUUUGCCUCUCAGAGCCCAGUCUCACAUUUCACUGCUGGCAGUUCAAAUCAAGAAUAAAAUAGAUUAAACACUUGAAAUGCUAUGCCCAACAAAUGCAUUCCACUUGUACUGUGUCUGGAGGGUGUCCUGGGCAGUCCAGUCUUUCCAUUUUUCAUUUCUUGCGGUAAGUCAAAAAGAGUAUGCCAAUAAGACUCCCCUUUUUGGAGUAACAAUGAUUAGAUUUCACUUCACUUCCAAAUCUAGCUACAAAUACACAGCACUGUGCCUUUUCAUUGUGCAGCUGACAUUUGUUGAGCGUGUCUUGGAAUGUUUUGAAAAUACACUGUUAUCCAUUACUUGUGUUUUCUGUGCUUCUAAGGGUUGUCAGACUCAACCCCUUUUGGACAGUAGAUAAAGACAGUGCUGGCUGAUCUGCAUUCCCUUCCACUCAGUUUUAACAUUUCCAUUCUGUUAAUAUUGCUCUAGCAUUGCUCUGCUUGAGGGAGGCUGGACCAGAUGACCCACUGCGGUCCCUUCCAACCUUAUCCAUUAUGUGAUUCUGUGAUUCCCAAGUGAGAGAUGUGGGUGAGAGCCCUCAGGUGAGAAGUGGGAAGAGUGGCCAGAGUUCCCUGCAGAUUUUCCAGAGCUGUAAGUGGGCUCUAUGCAUACCCAGGGGGAGCAGGCAGGAUAGCCUCAAAAUGCCUCUUUGCUUGGAGUCUGUCCAGAAUUCUAGCACAAUGUUUUCACAAUUUUCAGGGCUGCAUGUGAAAUAAGACUUUGUCAAAACAGGGAGGGGAGAGGGCUUCUCUGUGCCAAGAUAGCAAGGAUCAGCAGCAGAACCUGGAAUAAAGUUCUUUGUUUGCCCCAACACCUACAGUGCUUGUGUUGGAUUGUUUUAUGGGCAGUAAGGCAGGGGGUGUAGGUGACAGCUCAGGGCUAAGUAACUCUGAUGAGGCUCCUCCUGU